AUCAUCAAGCAGGGGUGGUCAGAUUGGCCUGAGAUAAUACCCUUUGAACCUGAACCGGAUAACACCGGCGUAGGGAGCUCGAGUGAUAGUAAU
rnacentral:ncRNA from 1 species